AGUGUGUCCAGGGCAGCUGUGGUGGGGUGGUGGUGUAUUGUUGGGAUAUUGUUAUCGUGAUUCUGGCGCUAAAUGCGAUGCUUGCUUUGACUGAUAAGCUAAAGACGAACUUACUAGUGACUGAUGUGCAGUGUGAGUGAUGAGAUGAAGGAAAACUGUGUGUUGAGGUGUGUGCUUCAUUACGAGGCGUCCGUGAUGUGCAUUUAAGCAGCUGUUAGUUUGAUCGGCUGGCGUUGUUAGCGGGUGUGUUUGUGAAGUGAAAUUUGGUGCACACAGUGUAAUGCAAGGGGAGAUGCUGUGGCUAAUGCAAUGUGGAUGGCUGGAUACUGUCGACAAUGUAGUUCAUUGGCAGACAAUGUGUUGGUAGCAGGAAGUGUUGCCAUACUGUGGUGGUGCCGGUGAAUCUGCCAUCUGGUGGUCACUUGAAUCUAACCAGGGAGGAGUGUUCAGAUACUGCGAUGCCUCCGAAAAGUAUUGUAUUAUUGCACUGGAGUGUGGUGAGAGUGGCGUCAGUGUCAUCCUCUACUGUAUAUUUGUCCACGAUGACUGAGAUCAGAAGGACCAGCUCAGUGUUGAGUCCUGCGUGAACUUGGCAAAUGGGGAAGUGUAGCUGUCAGACAUAUGCCUAACUAUACCUCUGGUACUGUGUAGUGAAGUCUGUCAUCAAGAGGAGGUUCGAUUGAGGAAGAAAAAUUCAGCCAAUAUUUUGCCUUCAGGAAACAAAUCUUCCAUCUCCUCACAAGGUUUGAGGCAAGGCCAUGCCAACAAGCGCUGUGGGAGGAGCAACUUCACCUCGCCGCGGCAGGAGGUGGCGUUGUGCAGACAGGAAAAUUAAUCAGCAAUGACAGAUAUGAUCGCCGUUGCUUUAGUGUGAGAGGCGAGGCGGCGUCUGGUGUCACCGCUGCCACCAGGCUGUCCCGCGGGCUGACCUAAUUAGAGAAUGUACAGUUGCAGGAAAACAGACGACAAUCAAAGUGAGGAAUGUCUGUCGUGUGGAAAUGACCGAGGCUUCAGCAGACCAUUGCUCACACACUCACACACACUCAGAGUACGAGCCGCAUACUCUUGCCGGACUGUCUCCAGGAGGUGGAUGAUGACAUGGUCAAACAGUGAACAGAGACGACACCCAAGUCCACCGCCGCUGGUUUUCAUCACUGCCAGGCUCUGCUCUUCUGACCUUCCUGCCCUGGCGCCGCACUCUUGACCCUCUAUCCUCUGGAGAAUAACAACUUAGCAGGACAUGGUAAAGAUAUCAAAACCACCACACACCACGGCGUGCUACCCGACGUCUUCCAGUGGUGCGAUCCCGUCCGUCAGGGGAGGCUAGAAAUGAGCUCACGACUCCUCAAAAGAAUCUCCUCCGCCAUCCCUAAUGCGAGCAGCGGCGGAGAGGAAUAAAGAUGGGAAGGAGAUGAUAAAUGUUGAAAGUAUCAGCAAGGUAGUGGUGGUGAGCACAGGAAAGAAGAGAUGAUAAGUUUGAGAACAUAAGAUGGAUCGAAGAAAUGACCUGCAAGAGACAACGUGAAGAACGCCCUGCAGCCCUAAACGAGUAAGCUUCAGGAGUCUAAUGCUGGAGAGGAUCGCUAGAAGAGGCUGCUGGGCAUGUGUCAUCACCACCUGUCAUGGCUAUACGAGUAUUUGUACGAGUA
rnacentral:lncRNA from 1 species